rnacentral:rRNA from 1 species
GAAUUUUGGACAAUGGGGGCAACCCUGAUCCAGCCAUGCCGCGUGCAGGAUGAAGGUCUUCGGAUUGUAAACUGCUUUUGUCAGGGACGAAAAGGGACGCGAUAACACCGCGUUCUGCUGACGGUACCUGAAGAAUAAGCACCGGCUAACUACGUGCCAGCAGCCGCGGUAAUACGUAGGGUGCAAGCGUUAAUCGGAAUUACUGGGCG